rnacentral:lncRNA from 1 species
CUGCAGCCUCAGGUGGAUCAGGACAAGAUUCAGCCUCCUGAACAGCUUUCACAAGCGCUGUAGAGGCUGCUCUGCAGGGGAGGCGCUCCCUUCUUUGAAUGUGUGGGGUUACAAGUGCCUUUCCCAGCUGCUCCAGGAACACCCUCCUCUUGUGGAUGAUGACCAUGGGCCAGCGGGCAGUCAUCCUCCUGCAACCUGGUGCUCAGGAGGACCACAUUCUUGUUCUUCAAUGGGAGGCAGAAUGGGAUGUGGACCUUAUGAUGUUAAUCAGGCAGAACACAGACCAGCUCUCAGCCCAUACAACAUCUUCUGCCUGAAGGAACAAUCCUUUUGUCAUUGUUGACAAACCAACCGAUCAAUGUGGGGUAUAUCUAAUCCUCCAGUAAUCUGAUGUAAUGAUUAAUCCUCCAGUAAUCUGAUGUAAUGUUU